rnacentral:rRNA from 1 species
AUGCAGUCGGACGGGAUUCAGAUUAGUAGCCUUGCUAUAAUUUCAUGAGAGUGGCGCACGGGUGCGUAACGCGUGAGCAACCUACCCAUAUCAGGGGGAUAGCCUCUCGAAAGAGAGAUUAACACCGCAUAACAUCAUUUACCGGCAUCGGUUGAUGAUCAAAUAUUUAUAGGAUAUGGAUGGGCUCGCGUGACAUUAGCUAGUUGGAGGGGUAACGGCCCACCAAGGCUACGAUGUCUAGGGGCUCUGAGAGGAGAAUCCCCCACACUGGUACUGAGACACGGACCAGACUCCUACGGGAGGCAGCAGUAAGGAAUAUUGGUCAAUGGAGGGAACUCUGAACCAGCCAUGCCGCGUGCAGGAUGACUGCCCUAUGGGUUGUAAACUGCUUUUGUCAGGGAAUAAACCUUUCCACGUGUGGGAAGCUGAAUGUACCUGAAGAAUAAGGAUCGGCUAACUCCGUGCCAGCAGCCGCGGUAAUACGGAGGAUCCAAGCGUUAUCCGGAUUUAUUGGGUUUAAAGGGUGCGUAGGCGGUCCUAUAAGUCAGUGGUGAAAGACGGCAGCUUAACUGUCGCAGUGCCUUUGAUACUGUAGGACUUGAAUCUAUUUGAAGUGGGCGGAAUAAGACAAGUAGCGGUGAAAUGCAUAGAUAUGUCUUAGAACUCCGAUUGCGAAGGCAGCUCACUAAGU